CACGGCUAUAUGUAAUUUCCAUUCAGUACACACAUAUUAGUGACAUUUAGUAGUCCUUGGCUCUGGGAUUUAAGCAAACCUUCAGAGGAUGCUAUAUGCCUGCAGUCCUGCAUUGCAGAUAAAAUUAAUAUUUAACACAAUGUUUAUGAUCUACUGAAUGAAAGUAAAGCGAUGUUUUCAGCGUUGCAGUCCAAAAAAGGUACAAAAGUUCCACUGGAAAGCAUAGGAUGUCAUUGUACACCCAAGACUGGCUAACCUCAUCAAUUAUUUCAAGGCUGCAGGAAUGCUUUAUUGCACUGCUUGGACUCAACAAAACCUAUUAAAUACUAGGACUGCACCAUAUGGUAAAAACAUCAUAUUGCAAUUAUUUUUGACAGAUAUUUUUAACAUUUUGUAACAUUUGUUGUAGGGGUGUAAGAAACCGUCGCACUGUAUGGUGAUAUUUUGCUUUGUGAUAUUGUAUCGAUUCUCAAAAACACUGUAUCCAUUUUUGUUAUUCAAACCCACAAACACUAGAUAGGAGUGUUGUUAACUGAGGGCUAUGAUGUUGGAUGUUACAGGGAUUAUGAUAAAUACAAACUGUUCUAGUUGCUUAAAAAAAUAAACUUAAUUUACAUUGCUUACAGUAUAUAUAAAACAUUGUAACUCCUGGGUCAUGAUACCGAUUAUAUCGCCAGAUUCUUGCCAAUAGACAGCCCUAAUUUGCUGGGGUCUGCACCAAACAAACAUGUUUUGCUAAAUCUGGGGAACAGGAUUUUGUAGACCAGAGUAUCUCUUCAAUACUACAGUACCUCAUUAUAAUGCUCACUUGACCUCUAUCGAACAACUGCAGCUUCCUGCAGUUUGCACAUUGAGAUUUUGACUAUAUUAUAAUGGUGCAGCCCUAUUUAAUACACUGGUAACAUCUUAAAAACGUUCUUCUUUCAAAAGCAUGCAGUUUGCAAGUCCUUCCUUACACCCUGCGGCAGUAAAAUGUCCUCCACAGUGUACUUACACGUUAACAGAACAACAAGGUGGGUGAAAUAGAAAUGGCCUCAGCAUUAAUGAGGAAUUAUUUCAUUUAAAAUACUCUCUAUAAUCUUGCCUAACUUUCAUUCUGCACUAAGAACUUAACAGUAUGUUAAUGUUUAGCUACAGUCUGUCAAAGGUGAGUAGCUUCACUUUCCCCUCCACCAAUGAGAAAGGAGGUGGGUACCGUUUAAGUGGGUUUACCCCUCCACUACCAACAUCCCAGCCCACAUGAUGAUUACACCCUCACUACUGAGCGGAAGCCGGCAGAGGGCGGCCGCAGUUGGCCCCCUUUGGCACGGUCUGGGAGAAAUUCGGUAGCUGGUCCGGUUACUCUUCUGUGGUUACCAUUACAGGCUUAAAAAAAAUGUCCAUUCAACACCACGACAACCGUGAGAUAUGACGCGUUUGUGCUCCGGCGUGAUGGAGAAUAACCGUUACACCUGUGACCAACGGCUCGUCGGUUGUAAAAUAUGACAAGGCAAAAAUAUACCAACGUCUCCAGAAUAACCGUUAUUAUUCCCAACGUUACGUGUUGCCAUAGGGCCAAACGUUAACGUUACAUAUUGAACCAUAUGUUUAAAUAAAAGAGCAACAUUUGUCACAUAACGGGGCUUAAAAAUAAAAUAAUUUGCUGCUCCUCUUACAACGAAGCGACAGCCCCGUAUAUAAUUAAUACAUGCCCGUCGGAAAUACUAGCUAGUUAGUAGUGAAUAGCUUCAAUGUGUCGCCUUCACCUUAUUGCCAGGUCCCUCCUGCCGCUCUCUAUCAUAGCGGACACGAGCCUCGACACUGCCCCUGGUCCUGCGUUCCUCUGUCCCCGGGCCCAGUGGAAAAGCAUGUCCAGCACCAAAGUUCCCAGGUUGUCCCUGUUGAGGAGAGCAGAACAUACAUAAAACAUGUUAUAUAUCGGCUACAGUGACCUACCAAAGGAUUAAAAGGAUGCGUCAUGAGAGGUUUUCUGAGCAUGAGGAGUAGGGGGAGGGACAGAUGAGCAUCAGUCUGUGUGUAAUCUCCUGCAGUGUCCCAGAUGGCUUAGUGAUGGCUGACAGUGCAGAUUAAAACAAUCAAAAUUCUCUACCAUUUCUCUCCCACUGCGGUUUUCCUUCAGUCACAUUACAUCUCACUCCAUCUUGUUCCCUUAGAGGCUUUGGCUGUGCUAGCACACGUGUGCAUGCACUGGUUACAUCAUUCACCCAUGCAGAGAUACUUUAAACACAAAAUGUAAAUUUUUAUAUAAAUCUCUCUUGCAGGUUUACACAUUUUACUAUUUCCUGAACAAGAUUAUAGAUUAAACAGUUCAGGUUGAGGUUGGAAUUCUUCAUUUGAUUAUAACUGAGCACUGCUUCCAUAUGAAUGUGUAGCUGAAGCUUAAACUGUGUAAACAUUCAUGUUGCACAGAUAAGAAUUUUUUUCUAGUCAUAUCAAAGUUUACACUAAAACCAAACAUGUCAGGCAGAAUUUGUAGAUAUAUUUUGGCAGUGUGGUGUCUGAGGGGCGAAUGCACAAAGAAGGGUUUGCAGCCGCUGAUAGCACCAUGAAUUGCUCAUCACUACCCCGUCUUGACAUCUAAUUCACAAAAAAGAUAUUGUGCUAAUAUUACAGCACGACAACAGGCCCAUAAAGUUCCACAGCUGAGAAUUUGCCCUUGUUUUGCAUCUGUUCAUCUGCAAUUUUCUGCAGCUGUGCCAGUAAUAUUUGUUCUUAAAGGGUAAUUUAUUUUGCCAUGUUUUUGAGUCACAGUGAGAAAUGGGGACAGUAAGUUUUGAAUUUGGUCCAGCAUUCAGUGAAAAUGCUGCAGCCUGCAGGAAAAUGUUUCCUUUUGCUUAAUUCGCUGUGUGUCUAACCAACUGAGAGUUGAGGUGACUUUUCACAGCAAAA